UUCACACAGUGAAAGUUAAAUACGUUGAGUUUGAGACGAGUUUAUUAACUCAACCAAUUGAGGUUAGUUUAGGUUAGUUUCUGAAUUCAAGCCCUAAUCAUUGAAUUCCUUAGUCCAGAGCAUAGUUCGUUGUCCGAGUCCGCCGCCAGUCCGUUGAUCCGUAGAUACCUGAAAAGAGAAAGAAAAGUCUUGUCUCACGUGGACGUAAAAUCGAACCGUAGGGUGCGCAAACAAAGGGCACACCGAAUUUUGAAGCAACAACAACAACAACACCAAUAAUAAUAACAACAGAAUACAAAUAUCGUUCGCUAUCAAAACGGCUCGCCUAAUUAUUUGACCCUACGACAGCCUUGACA